rnacentral:rRNA from 1 species
AAUGAACGUUGGCGGCGUGGAUUAGGCAUGCAAGUCGCGCGAGAAGUCAUUUAGCUUGCUAAAAGACGGACAGCGGCGGAAGGGAGAGUAACGCGUGGUUAUGUACCCUCGAGACCGGGAUAGUGUCGGGAAACUGGCAGUAAUACCGGAUAACAUCUUCGGAUCAAAUGGUGUGAUUCCGCUCGAGGAUCGGACCGCGUACUAUUAGCUAGUUGGAGGGGUAAUGGCCCACCAAGGCGUAGAUGGUUACCGGGUGUGAGAGCAUGGCCCGGCUCACUGGGACUGAGACACUGCCCAGACAUCUACGGAUGGCUGCAGUCGAGAAUCUUCGGCAAUGGACGAAAGUCUGACCGAGCGACGCUGCGUGCGGGAUGAAGGCCUUCGGGUUGUAAACCGCUGUCAGUUAGGAGGAAAUCCAUGAGGGUUCUCUCUCAUGGUUGACCGAUUUUCAGAGGAAGGACGGGCUAAGUUCGUGCCAGCAGCCGCCGUAAUAC